rnacentral:rRNA from 1 species
UGGGGCAUCUUACACAUGCAGUCGAACGGUGAACACGGAGCUUGCUCUGUGGGAUCAGUGGCGAACGGGUGAGUAACACGUGAGCAACCUGCCCCUGACUCUGGGAUAAGCGCUGGAAACGGCGUCUAAUACUGGAUAUGUGACGUGACCGCAUGGUCUGCGUUUGGAAAGAUUUUUCGGUUGGGGAUGGGCUCGCGGCCUAUCAGCUUGUUGGUGAGGUAAUGGCUCACCAAGGCGUCGACGGGUAGCCGGCCUGAGAGGGUGACCGGCCACACUGGGACUGAGACACGGCCCAGACUCCUACGGGAGGCAGCAGUGGGGAAUAUUGCACAAUGGGCGAAAGCCUGAUGCAGCAACGCCGCGUGAGGGAUGACGGCCUUCGGGUUGUAAACCUCUUUUAGCAGGGAAGAAGCGAAAGUGACGGUACCUGCAGAAAAAGCGCCGGCUAACUACGUGCCAGCAGCCGCGGUAAUACGUAGGGCGCAAGCGUUAUCCGGAAUUAUUGGGCGUAAAGAGCUCGUAGGCGGUUUGUCGCGUCUGCUGUGAAAUCCCGAGGCUCAACCUCGGGCCUGCAGUGGGUACGGGCAGACUAGAGUGCGGUAGGGGAGAUUGGAAUUCCUGGUGUAGCGGUGGAAUGCGCAGAUAUCAGGAGGAACACCGAUGGCGAAGGCAGAUCUCUGGGCCGUAACUGACGCUGAGGAGCGAAAGGGUGGGGAGCAAACAGGCUUAGAUACCCUGGUAGUCCACCCCGUAAACGUUGGGAACUAGUUGUGGGGUCCAUUCCACGGAUUCCGUGACGCAGCUACGCAUUAAGUUCCCCGCCUGGGGAGUACGGCCGCAAGGCUAAAACUCAAGGAAUUGACGGGGACCCGCACAAGCGGCGGAGCAUGCGGAUUAAUUCGAUGCAACGCGAGAACCUUACCAAGGCUUGACAUAUACGAGAACGGGCCAGAAUGGGUCAACUCUUUGGACACUCGUAAACAGGUGGUGCAUGGGUUGUCGUCAGCUCGUGUCGUGAGAUGUUGGGUUAAGUCCCGCAACGAGCGCACCUCGUUCUAUGUUGCCAGCACGUAAAUGUUGGGGACUCAUGGGAUACUGCCCGGGUCAACUCGGAGAGUGGGAAUGGACGUCAAUCAUCAUGCCCUUAAUGUUCUUGGGGGCU